rnacentral:rRNA from 1 species
AUUGAACGCUGGCGGCAUGCUUUACACAUGCAAGUCGAACGGUAACAGGUCUUCGGAUGCUGACGAGUGGCGAACGGGUGAGUAAUACAUCGGAACGUGCCCGAUCGUGGGGGAUAACGGAGCGAAAGCUUUGCUAAUACCGCAUACGAUCUACGGAUGAAAGCAGGGGACCGCAAGGCCUUGCGCGGACGGAGCGGCCGAUGGCAGAUUAGGUAGGUGGUGGGAUAAAAGCUUACCAAGCCGACGAUCUGUAGCUGGUCUGAGAGGACGACCAGCCAAACUGGGACUGGGACACGGCCCAGACUCCUGCGGGAGGCAGCAGUGGGGAAUUUUGGACAAUGGGCGAAAGCCUGAUCCAGCCAUGCCGCGUGCAGGAUGAAGGCCUUCGGGUUGUAAACUGCUUUUGUACGGAACGAAAAGACUCCUUCUAAUAAAGGGGGUCCAUGACGGUACCGUAAGAAUAAGCACCGGUUAACUACGUGCCAGCCGCCGCAGUAACAC